GUACCAUAACAUGACGUAGAUCAUGCCGAAAUGAGUCCGUAGACACGUAGUGAGCCCAAAUCGUAGUUGUAACUAAUACUUGGAAACAGUGGACAUGGAUACUUGAAUACAUGGAAAUGGAUAGUUGGUUAGUCUGCGCACGUAAGACUUGUCACAAGCGCAUGAGUAUUGAGGAUUCUGUUGUGCGCGCUGGUUAGCCCAGUCCCCCGGUUGGACGGCUCAUCACUGGCCACAGUUGUUGAGGAUUCCUCCAUGUGGUCUAGUCAAACGAUCCCC
rnacentral:lncRNA from 1 species